AACGAACGCUGGCGGCAGGCUUAACACAUGCAAGUCGAGCGCCCCGCAAGGGGAGCGGCAGACGGGUGAGUAACACGUGGGAAUCUACCCAUCCCUACGGAACAACUCCGGGAAACUAGAGCUAAUACCGUAUACGCCCUUUGGGGGAAAGAUUUAUCGGGGAUGGAUGAGCCCGCGUUGGAUUAGCUAGUUGGUGGGGUAAAGGCCUACCAAGGCGACGACCCAUAGCUGGUCUGAGAGGAUGAUCAGCCACAUUGGGACUGAGACACGGCCCAAACUCCUACGGGAGGCAGCAGUGGGGAAUAUUGGACAAUGGGCGCAAGCCUGAUCCAGCCAUGCCGCGUGAAUGAUGAAGGCCUUAGGGUUGUAAAGUUCUUUCACCGAUGAAGAUAAUGACGGUAGUCGGAGAAGAAGCCCCGGCUAACUUCGUGCCAGCAGCCGCCGUAAAAC
rnacentral:rRNA from 1 species